rnacentral:rRNA from 1 species
UACGGGGGGGGCAAGCGUUGUUCGGAAUUACUGGGCGUAAAGGGCUCGUAGGCGGCCAACUAAGUCAGACGUGAAAUCCCCAGGCUCAACCUGGGAACUGCGUCUGAUACUGGAUGGCUUGAAUCCGGGAGAGGGAUGCAGAAUUCCAGGUGUAGCGGUGAAAUGCGUAGAUAUCUGGAGGAAUACCGGUGGCGAAGGCGGCAUCCUGGACCGAUAUUGACACUGAGGAGCGAAAGCCAGGGGAGCAAACGGG